rnacentral:rRNA from 1 species
GACGAACGCUGGCGGCGUGCCUAAUACAUGCAAGUAGGACGCAGUUGCGAACGGGUGAGUAACGCGUAGGUAACUACCUAUUAGAGGGGGAUAACUAUUGGAAACGAUAGCUAAUACCGCAUACUAGUAGAUGGACCUGCGGUGUAUUAGCCAGUAGGUAGGGUAAUGGCCUACCUAGGCAAAGAUACAUAUCCGCCCUGGGAGGCUGAUCGGCCACGCUGGGACUGAGACCAGGCCCCGACUCCUACGGGAGGCAGCAGUAGGGAAUCUUCGGCAAUGGGGGGAACCCUGACCUAGCAACGCCGCGUGAGUGAAGAAGGUUUUCGGAUCGUAAAGCUCUGUUGUUAAGGAAGCGGUACUUAACCAGAAAGGGACGGCUAACUACGUGCCAGCAGCCGCGGUAAUAC